AUUGAACGCUGGCGGAAUGCUUUACACAUGCAAGUCGAACGGCAGCACGGGGGCAGCCCUGGUGGCGAGUGGCGAACGGGUGAGUAAUACAUCGGAACGUGCCCGGUCGUGGGGGAUAACGUAGCGAAAGUUACGCUAAUACCGCAUACGAUCUGAGGAUGAAAGCGGGGGACCUUCGGGCCUCGCGCGAUCGGAGCGGCCGAUGUCAGAUUAGGUAGUUGGAGGGGUAAAGGCCUACCAAGCCGACGAUCUGUAGCUGGUCUGAGAGGACGACCAGCCACACUGGGACUGAGACACGGCCCAGACCCCUACGGGAGGCAGCAGUGGGGAAUUUUGGACAAUGGGCGCAAGCCUGAUCCAGCCAUUCCGCGUGCAGGACGAAGGCCUUCGGGUUGUAAACUGCUUUUGUACGGAACGAAAAGGCUCUGGCUAAUACCUGGGGCUCAUGACGGUACCGUAAGAAUAAGCACCGGCUAACUACGUG
rnacentral:rRNA from 1 species